UGAAAAGAUGGUGACGCAGACUCUGUUGUGGAAAAAGGAAUCUGCGGUGAUGUACUAAAGAGAAAAAAAAUUGAUUUAAUCUUUACUGAGGAAAGUCACAUGUAAAAAUUGCAGCUAAAGGGCUCACUGGAAACUUCAUUAUACAACCAUACAUCUCAAAAAAGUGAAAUAAAAGUGUGUUUGGGUAUUAACAAGAGCAAAAUUCAAUAGUGUGGAGAAGCUGCUAAUCCAGCAGAGUCCCAAGAGUCUUACAGAUUCCCUAAGCAAAGAAAUAAGCCCAGCAGAAAGUCAGAUUAUUUCUUUUACAAUAUAUCAAGCAGCAAAAUAUAAGGAACUAACCUCUGGUCGACGUUCAAGUGCUUCCUUCAUCAAUGGAUGCAAC